UAUGUGCUGGGACACCUGGAGCCUCUCAUCACUCAGAGACUGGUUGCUGGUAACAAUCCUUUAAUCCUGGGAUUCAGAUGGCCUGAAGUUACAAGAAGCUACCACCUUGCUGAAGCAAAAGUAUAUAUAUACUACCUCAGGUUCCAAGGUGAAACAGGCAGAAUAUAAAAGUAAUAAAAUGAAAAUAAACCCUAUGAUAUACAUUUUAAGAUAUGGAAGCACAGAGGACAUACAUAUCCAGCAAGAUUCUUAUUCUUAAAAGAAAAAAAAAUCUCUUGGAAAUCGCUGACUUGAGACAAAACUCUGUUACCUCCAUCUGUCUUGUAAAGAAGGCUGUGACUAAGCUGAUGACAUGCUGUCCUGUGGCCAAUUUGUAUCUGUCUGACUGUUGGCUGCGGAGAACAAGGGGAGACAUGGAGAUUAUGUGCUGGCUGUCAGUCUUCAUUGCAUAAAACUCUGCAUCCUCAGAUACCCAUUCAUACUUCCCAGAGGGUUGAGGAGCUAAGCUUCCAUUCCUGCCUCCGCUGUUCCUUGCUAUGGCUCAUAUCUGCUUGGAAAUGGGUCACUUCUUUUAUCCAUGCACAUAUAUAUGUCUUUUCAACACAUACCGUCAAAACAAGUAACUCCUAUUUCUCUGUGCACUUUGUGAAUAAGAGUUCCGCAUUAAUUCUGGGCAACUCAAAAAUAAAAGUGAGCUCAACAUUCUAAGUGAUAUCAGAUGUUAAAUAUGCAAACUACAACCAACAUUAAUUUGCUUCCCAAAAUUCAUAUCUGUGCAUUCUGAUGUUGAAUAUUCACCAAUCUGAAUAUUCAGAGAGUCACUGUCUAUUGUAUAUGUGAUAACAACAUUAAACAUUCAUUGAUAUUGGAUUUAACAGACUUGUUGAUGGCUAGCUCACGAUAGUCUUUAGUUUUUGAUAGCUGAAAGCUUAUGGGAUUUCUUAACUGGCCACAGUCAAAAGCACUUGCAUUUGGAGAUGAAAUUGUGAAUACACAACCUUAAAUUUCACUUUUGAGUGCAAAAUUCAUUUUGGCUUUGUUGGUACCUAUACUUGGGUAAUAGAAGAAUCACAAGUUGAUGUAAAAAGUAUAAUCUAAGGGUGUUUUGGCAGAGUUCCAAAUCCCCUUGAUUAGUAGUGUAUACUGAAAACUUAUUAAGGAUUUGUAGAUUUUAGAGGGAAGCAAACAUUCUCAGGAACUGAAUAUAAGGAUUAGGAUAAAAUAAUACAGGGAUUUGAUCACCAUCCUUUGCAUGAUCAGGACAUAUAUAGUAUUUGAACUCCAGACUUAUUGAACGCUAAGGAAGGCCCACUGGGACAAGCUGUCCAUGCACCUUUGUUUCAGCAGUCUUGGUUGGCCUUCCAUUAUGCACAGUCUUCAAGAUCCAUGGAAGGAAACGAUGGGAUCUCAAGUAACACAAGAGCAUUUAACUUUAAGACAGAACAGCUGGCAAAGCAGGUUUGUGUCAAGAUAAGAUGAACUCACUCAGGUGCUCCCAGAACAAAUUGUUGAAGUUUAAGACAAAUGAAAAGUGGCUGCACCUAGAAGAGCAAAAUAGAUGCUAGACAACAUAACUCUCUUUCUUGCAGUUUGCUCUAAGCACAUGUGUGUGUGUGUGUGAGAGAGAGAGAGAGCGCAAGAAGGCCACUCCAUCUUCCACUUCCUUAUUUAAUAAUAUUUCUGAAGUACAUCUCAAGGGAGGCACUGUUGUUGACACGUCCCUUACAUUGUCAACUCUCUGAGCUGGGAAAGGCCCACUCGUCGCCUGCUCUUGCCACUCUGAGCACCAUCACAGCAGAAAGAAGUCAGAGAAAUUAUCCUCCGCAUGCUCCUGCAGCGGCCUGGCAUUUCAGAAGUACACUCCAAUAUCUCCAAAGGUCAACUACAUUCGUAUUGCUCAAGCAGCACCUUGUUAUGUACUUAGAAAACUAAUUAGAAACAGAACUGCUACCAAGCAAUUACUUGACAUUCCUAUGCAGCAUGAUCAGCUACCUUUUUGUUUUUUUUUAUAAACCACUGCAAACAUUACUAGUGUGGCCAUAGGGUGCAGCAAUCUUAUGUAAGCUUACUUGGGAGUUCAUAAGACUUACAUCGGGAGUAAGUUUUGCUCUACAGCAAGGCCGGGAUCAAAUCAGCAUCUGGGUUCCUUUGUAUGGGCAAUUAUUUUUUAUUUCAUUAAAAAAAUGUUUACCAAAUAUCUUUCUUAAGGAUAUCUGAAGGGACUCACAGCAAAGGACUCAUACAGAGGACCCACAUAAAACCCCAAAACAGAACAUAAAUAAGCUGGUUACAUAAAUUAUAUAAUUUACGUGUCAUUAAAUUACAAAAAAGGAACACCAUCUUCUAAUGGUACAGAGAAAGGAAAUGUAAACCAUACCUUUGGGUGCUCACAGAGAGCAAAUCAGGCCUCUGUUUUUCAGUGUUCAGUUCCAGGAUUGCCUGGCUAUUGUUUUCUUUCACACACAUCUUGAUGACACCACUUCUAGUCAGGGGACAGAGGAAGAAAGACAUGUCCCCUUCAGCUUGCUUCCAGAAGUAUCUCCAGCUGCUUAGUUUUAAUGGCAACACUUUUGCCCACUCUUGCUCCAUGGAAGAUGGAGCAUGCUUGUUUUCUCCUGCUCUGGAGGGUAAGACCUGAACCAAGGCCUUCAAGUUACAAGAAAGGAGAUUCCAACUAAACAUCAGGAAGAGCUUUCCUGGUAAGCUGUUCAACAGUGGAAGGCACUCCCUCAGAAGGUCUCUCCUUUCUUGGAGGCUUUAAAGCACAGGUUGGAUGGCCAUCUGUCAUGGGUGCUCUAGUUGAGAUUUCUGCACUGCAGAGGGUUGGACUAGAUGACCCUUAGGGUCCCUUCCAACUAUACAAUUCUAUGAUUCUAUAAAAUCAGAUACUUUACAGACCUGGCUAGACCAUUUACUUAAGAAAGAAAUUGAUUUAACUAUUUCAGCAGUCCCAUUUUCUGCAGAAAGCCCAUCUUAUAGUUCCAGAAUCACAGGUUUUAGAAAACCCAUUAGUCUUAACCCAAACGUAUUACAAUGUUGUACUGCAAUUAGAAAGGCAAAUGCUAAAUCUUCUUUUCCAUGUGGAUUACUGCUAGAGAAGCUGAAUAAUGUGUCAGACAACAAGCAGCAGCAACAGCAUGCCAACAAAGAUGAGUUUUCUGUAUUGCCUCAAGCACCAAAAUAGAAGUGUCACAGGCAGAUCCAAAAAUCAAUGUAUAAUGUAUAAUGCAUGGCUGGCACCUGAUUUUAACAGAGAAAGGUAUGCACAGGUGAGGACAUGGCUUAGUUCUAUGCAAUCUCUCCUCCUGAAUCACUUUCUUCUCAACUGGAAAUGAACUUGCUGAGGGCAAAAGUGCUGAAGGAGAGAGAGCUGCAGUGGCCAGGAGGAGGGUUAUUCAUUCCUCCCCCAUCUGCCCCUUUAGCUCCUUAAAAUACAUCCUCACCUUGACUUGUUCCAUGAUUGUGACAGAUGCAGGUUUAAAUAUGUGAAUCGGCCACUAUCCCACUACGUUGACCGUGAGAGUCCUGUGUAUCUACCUUCCUUCCACCCUGUCUCCAAUCUUUCAAAAGCAAUCUGCCCCUGCUUUAGGAGAGCCUGUCUCAGCAAGAACCAUCUUUAAUUAGUCAAUCAAUAAACUAAAGCAAGCACAUCUCAGCUGACAAAACUCCAGAUGAGCGGACCAGGGUUUUAUUAGCAAAAGCAGACAGUGUCAUGGCAGAGUAAUUAAUCAGUGUCAGGCUGAGAACAGGCUAGAACAUGGCAUUGUACCAAGGACCUCACAGAGCUGUAAAUCACUGACUGGAAGGAAUGGAACAGUGCGAGGGCAAUCCCGUUCUGGUUGGAGAGUAGCUGGACACUGGACCAGGGAACUAUGUGCAUGUGUUUGACAUCCUUCUGUCAUCAUGACUAUCAGGGACAAUCCACUGUGCAUUGGACUCACUUAGAGGAGGAGGAGCCAUCCUUGAUGAAAUAAGUGACUCUUCCUCAGGAUGCUUCCAUAUUGCAGAUAUUAGUAUUGUGCAGCUUGAAGCAACUGGGUGUAUAAAAACUGACUCCUUUUAGAAUAAAACAUUGCCCAGACCAUUAGAUGGAUUCAAAACCUUACCUGCAGAACCUUCUUC
rnacentral:lncRNA from 1 species